AGAGCGAACGCUGGCGGCAGGCCUAACACAUGCAAGUCGAGCGCCCCGCAAGGGGAGCGGCAGACGGGAGAGUAACACGUGGGAACGUACCCUUCAGUUCGGAACAACCCAGGGAAACUUGGGCUAAUACCGAAUACGUCCGUAAGGAGAAAGAUUUAUCGCUGAAGGAUCGGCCCGCGUCUGAUUAGCUUGUUGGUGAGGUAAUGGCUCACCAAGGCUACGAUCAGUAGCUGGUCUGAGAGGAUGAUCAGCCUCACUGGGACUGAGACACGGCCCAGACUCCUACGGGAGGCAGCAGUGAGGAAUUUCCGCAAUGGGCGAAAGCCUGACGGAGCGACGCCGCGUGCACGAGGAAGGUCUUCGGAUCGUAAAGUGCUGUCGAGGGGGACGAUUAUGACGGUACCCCUGGAGGAAGCCCCGGCUAACUACGUGCCAGCAGCCGC
rnacentral:rRNA from 1 species